rnacentral:rRNA from 1 species
AACGUAGGAGGCGAGCGUUAUCCGGAUUUACUGGGCGUAAAGCGCGUGCAGGCGGUUCGGCAAGUUGGAUGUGAAAGCUCCUGGCUCAACUAGGAGAGGUCGUUCAAUACUACCGAACUUGAGGGCAUCAGAGGAAGGUGGAAUUCCCGGUGUAGUGGUGAAAUGCGUAGAUAUCGGGAGGAACACCAGUGGCGAAGGCGACCUUCUGGGAUGUUCCUGACGCUCAGACGCGAAGGCUAGGGUAGCAAACGGGAUUAGAAACCCGUGUAGU